CCUACGGGUGACAGCAGUAGGGAAUAUUGCUCAAUGGCCGAAACCCUGAAGCAGCAAAGCCGCGUGGAGGAUGAAGGUUUUCGGAGUGUAAACUCCCUUUGGUAGAGAAGAUAAUGACGGUAUCUAACGAAUAAGCACCGGCUAACUCCGUGCCAGCAGCCGCGGGAAUACGGAGGGGGCAAGCGUUACUCGGAAUCACUGGGCGUAAAGAGGGCGUAGGCGGGAUAGCAAGUCAGAUGUGAAAUCCUAUGGCCUAACCAUAGAACUGCAGUUGAAACUGUUAUUCUAGAGUAUGGGAGAGGUAGGUGGAAUUCUUGGUGUAGGGGUGAAAUCCGUAGAGAUCACGAAGAAUACUCAUUGCGAAGGCAACCUGCUAGAACAUAACUGACGCUGAUGCGCGAAAGCGUGGGGAGCAAACAGGAUUAGAUACCCGAGUAGUC
rnacentral:rRNA from 1 species